GAUGAACGCUGGCGGCGUGCCUAAUACAUGCAAGUCGAGCGAACGGACGAGAAGCUUGCUUCUCUGAUGUUAGCGGCGGACGGGUGAGUAACACGUGGAUAACCUACCUAUAAGACUGGGAUAACUUCGGGAAACCGGAGCUAAUACCGGGUAAUAUUUUGAACCGCAUGGUUCAAAAGUGAAAGACGGUCUUGCUGUCACUUAUAGAUGGAUCCGCGCUGCAUUAGCUAGUUGGUAAGGUAACGGCUUACCAAGGCAACGAUGCAUAGCAGACCUGAGAGGGUGAUCGGCCACACUGGAACUGAGACACGGUCCAGACUCCUACGGGAGGCAGCAGUAGGGAAUCUUCCGCAAUGGGCGAAAGCCUGACGGAGCAACGCCGCGUGAGUGAUGAAGGUCUUCGGAUCGUAAAACUCUGUUAUUAGGGAAGAACAUAUGUGUAAGUAACUGUGCACAUCUUGACGGUACCUAAUCAGAAAGCCACGGCUAACUACGUG
rnacentral:rRNA from 1 species